UUUCUUGGUAUUUUCUCCUCCACACAAACAAAGAACAUACAUAUAAGAUAUUUCAUCAACUGAAAAGGUUCCUAUCGUCUCUAAUUACAACUCUGUGUUUAAACUUGUUAUCUACAUCAGAUCCGGAGAAUUACUGUCAUGGAAAGAAGCAACCUACAGUUAUUGCAGGGUAGAAAUGUGGCUUUGUAAAUUUGAUUGGUCUUUUGGCAGAUGUCAUUUUCUGCUCUUCGCACGGACGUUGCCAAUGUUCUGGAGAGAUUAAAGAAUGAACAAGAUCAAAAGGAUGUUGAUGUGGAUCUAAUUGAAAAGCUAAAAUUGGAGCUGGCAUUUAUUUGUACAUAUGUCCAGCUUUCUUAUUCCGAUUUGGAUCAGUUUGAAGAUAUAAUGACAAGAGGAUGAGAAUCUGCUUCAACCAAUUUUGGAUGAUGAUGUCCUUACUAGACUCACCAGUAAUAUGGAUGACUGUAUCAGCUUGUAUCAUCGUUCUUAUAAAUCAGAUGCUAUCAUGAUGGAUGAGCAAUUGGACUUCCUCCUCUUGAAUCUCUAUCAUCUAGCGAGGCAUCAUGCUGAAAA